UACGUAGGGUGCGAGCGUUAAUCGGAAUUACUGGGCGUAAAGGGUGCGCAGGCGGCCGCGCAAGUCGAGUGUGAAAUCCCCGAGCUUAACUUGGGAAUUGCGCUCGAAACUACGUGGCUGGAGUGUGGCAGAGGAAGGUGGAAUUCCACGUGUAGCGGUGAAAUGCGUAGAUAUGUGGAGGAACACCGAUGGCGAAGGCGGGUCUCUGGGCCGAUACUGACGCUGAGGAGCGAAAGCGUGGGGAGCGAACAGG
rnacentral:rRNA from 1 species